GACUCUCGGCAACGGAUAUCUCGUCUCUCGCAUCGAUGAAGAACGUAGGGAAAUGCUAUACUUGGUGUGAAUUGCAGAAUCCCGUGAACCAUCGAGUUUUUGAACGCAAGUUACGCCCCAAGCCUUCGGGCCGAGGGCACGCUUUCCUGGGUGUCA